GGCGGAGUAGCCAAGUGGGAAGGCUCGGGUCUGCAAAACCUGUAUGAGCGGGUUCGAUUCCCGCCUCCGCCU
rnacentral:tRNA from 1 species